AAUGAGAUCUGAGCAGAGGAAUAACACAAUGAGUAAUAUUUAGGAAGCUCACUCACUUAUUCACUUACCGCAAAUUAAACAUUAAAGGAGCCUCACUGUGUGUUAGGGGUUGCAUAAGGUGCUUGAAGUACAAAUGAAUAAACAUGGCGCCUGCUCUUAAGGAACUGAAAUCUAAGCACAAGUAACCUACAGGGGAAGCCUGGGAGAAAAAUCUGGAGCAACCAGAAGUCUUGUUGCCAGACUCAUUCUUGAGAUUUCCCUGUUUUACUCUAUAAUACUGGGAUCAACAUUCAUUAGCUCAGAAGGAUCUAGAUGAAGGCCUGCUGGCAAGCAUCAGUAUAAGAUAGAAAAGGCCAUGUGAGGACAGUGAGAAGCUGUUGUCUGCAAGUGAAGGAGUCUCACAAGAAACCAACCCUGUUGGCAGCUUGAUUGUGGACUUCCAGACUCCAGCACUGUGAGAAAAUACAUUUCUGUGGUUUAAGCCCCCAGUCCCCCAGUCUGUGGCAUACAGUUAAGGCAGCCUGAGCUGACCAGUACAGGGUUGAACUGGGGAGACAUGGUGCAUUUUCUGUAGCAGACACUGCCAUGAAAGGUCACUAUCAAUCCCUCUAGGGUACUUGGUGCUGCAGAUCAUCUCUAACUUUGUGUGACAAAAACAGAGCAGCAGGAAAGUGAAUCUUUGGCUGUGGACUAGAGACUGAUAUUAACAAUUUUUUCCCCAAAAAGCAACCAAGAGAACAUCCAGGUAUUUUUAAACAAAUGUCCUCUAUAAGGAGGGCUUUUAAAAAUUUCUCCUGCAAUCCUACUUUUCCUACACAAACUGCUGGGAUGUGGUGGUGACCCAAGGGAAGGUGAUGUUAGAGGAAAGAGCAAAAGAAGGAUUACUGGGAGUCUGAGAAUGUGUCUGUAUGUGUCAGGACCCACAGGGUUUUAUAGGCUCACGAAUCAAGCCUGUGGCAUCCUGAUUUUGAUUUAAGAUUAUCCACUGGGGAGAAAAUUUUGUGUUGAACUUUACUUAAACCUUCCUGAGCAAAGAGAUCCUUUAGCUAUGCACUGUGAGUUUCCCUACACAGCAGCACAGGACACUUGGGGGAUGGAUGUUUCACAUAAUUUACUGUGUGCUUUGACUGGACACACUUCACUGCUCUCUGCACAGCACAGCAGUAUUUAGAAAGGUGCUGCUGGCAGUUUGGACUUCUGUUUUCUAUUGGUUGCUGCUCCAUAUUUAUUCUGGGAAUUAAGAUAGAAAGAAAAUCAGAGAAUUAUGAUGAAAAAAAAAUAAAGAUAAGCUGACUCACAGACAGUGAAUCCUCAAACCAAAAGUUAGUGGGAAAUUUCAAAGCUGAGUCUUACUUUCACAGCUGCUGUAAGUUUUUAACUUCUGCUGUGUAUUUCCUCACCUAAUUUAUUUCAUCACCUUGGUCAAAUUGUGCAUGUGUGUUUGUGAUGGAGCUGUCCUCUAUAAUGAUGUUGGUGAGGUAAUGCUAUUAUGAGAAUAAUUCUUAUUUAGAUUUGCAUUGUGUAUAAUUUUCAGAGUGCUUUCCCGUCUUCUGUUUGAUUUGAUUUACACAUUGGCUAUAACAGGUUUCAAGUUAAUGCAAGGUCAGGAAUUGUUUUAUAUCAUUCACCUUCUACUGUUACACAGACCGGCACUUUCCACAUUUAUUCACCAAUGAUUCAUUCAAUGGUUAUGGUAGGAUUUAGAGAAAUAAAAGUUCUGGGCAUUUUUCUGAUAGAAGACCAAACAUAUUCCAAAGAUAACGUUUUUAUAAACAUCUGACCUGAAGGGAACUCAGAUAACUAAGAGCACAUGGUUAAUACUGGUUCUUUUGUUUCAUGAUUUUAUCUGUUUAAUUUUGCUUUAAACUUUGUCUUUGGUUGAGUUUAAUCUCUCUUAGAACAACUGAAUGUUAUCCAUAAGACUCAGGUAACACAAGGAUGUUUGAUCUCUUGUCAAUUAGAAAUUCUCAGAAAAUUAGGACCUAUGUAAUUAUUUCAUGUAAUGUAUAAUUGGGAAAUAUGGACAAAAAGAAAAAUUAGCAAAUGGAAUCCAACACCACAUUA